UAUCAGACUUGUCACAAGAUUGUUCUAACAAGUCUGAUAUAGUCAUGAUAAACAAGAAUGUUACAAGGUUGACGACACAAGGUUGUAACAAUACUGCUAUAUCAUGACUGUAUCAGACUUGUUGGAACAACCUUGUAACAAGCCUGAUA